AGUGAACGCUGGCGGUAGGCCUAACACAUGCAAGUCGAACGGCAGCACAGUAAGAGCUUGCUCUUACGGGUGGCGAGUGGCGGACGGGUGAGGAAUACAUCGGAAUCUACUUUUUCGUGGGGGAUAACGUAGGGAAACUUACGCUAAUACCGCAUACGACCUACGGGUGAAAGCAGGGGAUCUUCGGACCUUGCGCGAUUGAAUGAGCCGAUGUCGGAUUAGCUAGUUGGCGGGGUAAAGGCCCACCAAGGCGGCGAUCCGUAGCUGGUCUGAGAGGAUGAUCAGCCACACUGGAACUGAGACACGGUCCAGACUCCUACGGGAGGCAGCAGUGGGGAAUAUUGGACAAUGGGCGCAAGCCUGAUCCAGCCAUACCGCGUGGGUGAAGAAGGCCUUCGGGUUGUAAAGCCCUUUUGUUGGGAAAGAAAAGCAGCAGGUUAAUACCCCGCUGUUCUGACGGAACCCAAAGAAUAAGCACCGGCUAACUUCGUG
rnacentral:rRNA from 1 species